AGCAGCCGCGGUAAUUCCAGCUCCAAUAGCGUAUAUUAAAGUUGUUGCAGUUAAAAAGCUCGCAGUUGAAUUUCGGGAUUAGUAGGUUGGUCGUGCCUCCGGUAUGUACUGGCUUCACUGAUUCCUCCUUCUUGAAGACCUGUAAUGUCAUUAAUUUGGUGUUGCAGGGAAACAGGACUGUUACUUUGAAAAAAUUAGAGUGUUUAAAGCAGGCUAACGCUUGAAUACAUUAGCAUGGAAUAAUGAAAUAGGACGUUCGAUCCUAUUUUGUUGGUUUCUAGGAUCAACGUAAUGAUUAAUAGGGAUGGUUGGGGGCAUUAGUAUUCAAUUGUCAGAGGUGAAAUUCUUGGAUUUAUUGAAGACUAACUACUGCGAAAGCAUUUGCCAAGGAUGUUUUCAUUAAUCAAGAACGAAAGUUAGGGGAUCGAAGACGAUCAGAUACCGUCGUAGUCUUAACCAUAAACUAUGCCGACUAGGGAUCGGAUGAUGUUAAUUUUUUAAUGACUCA
rnacentral:rRNA from 1 species